ensembl:lincRNA
UGCAUUUCUAUUACCCUGGAUAGUCUAGAUGGCACUUUUUAGAUCUCACGUUUUGUUUGGCUUCAUCUGGGCCAGUUAGUUUUGUUCUCACCCCUACUUACAAACUGUCAAAACACGCCAUCCAUUUCAUAACUGUGUUCUAUAUAAAAAAAGAACAACUAGACCAUUUUCAUCUCAGUUGCUGGGGAAGAAUUCCAGUGGAAUGGACCUAACAACACAAGGGAACUGGAAGGGAAGCUUCAGGCAGGCUGACUCAGAUACCCAGGCUCCUUUCUGCAGUAUCUCUGGAGACAAGAAAAUAAAAUACCUCCAAAAUCAGAUCCUAAGGUGGGCUGUGUGCACAUCACGGUUUCCUUGGCAGCAGACGGACAGCAGUCGGAAGGCAUGUUGCAGCUCACAUUGUAACUCGCUGGAAGAGGGUGAUGGCAAAGCAAAUGGAAGUCAAAGGGCACAGAACUCAAAUCUGCAGCUUCCUGGAAAAUAAAUUACUUCUAGCCUAGAAGGUACUCCUGUCUUCAGUUUCUUUUCCUUUUAAUAUACUCAGAAUGCCUACCACCACAUUGUUUUUUCUGAAAAAAAUUCCACUACAUAUCAUGAGUUGACAAGAAAAUCUCCAAUGGCUCCAAGCUGACUGGAGGGUGGUUCUUUAAUUUGCACUAAGGGCCCUCCCCCAGUAGUUCUAUCCUCCCCCAAAUAAGCCCUUUCCCUGACAAAACUGGCCCAUCCUCUGUCCCUGGAACAAUGCCUGUCCCCACUGGAACAUUCUGGAACACUCUAUUUCCUUUCUUGGAGAAUUAUAAUCCUUGCUUUCCAGCUAAUGUUCACCAAACACUUGCUACAUACUAAAUGCCUAUUUUAUUUCAUUCUCAUUACAGUUCUAUGGAGAAUGAGUUAUUAUUAUCCUAACUUCACAUUUCAGAAUACUGAGGCUUAGAUAGGUUAUGAACCUACAGUCACAUAGCCAGUAAGUGGGCAAGCAGAGAUUUGAACUGAGGUCUUUACUUUCAGGGCCAAACUCUUUACCACUGUGGUGCAAUGAGCAGGACUAUCUGAUGGUGACCCCAGAGCUCAGGCAGCGUCACCUGCAUGAUAAACAGAGCAGGUGAACACCUUUUCCCCAGCAGAACUGUACUUCAUAUCAGUUAUCCACAGUGUUGGUGACUUCCUCCCUCAGAAGAAGAAACUGAAACUUCCCAUGGGUCUGAAAGUCUCUAGUCCAGAAGGUGACAUUCAUAAAUGCCUAUAAACAGCUGGGACACCAAACUGAACUGUUUGGAACUAAGCAGCCUGAGUAUUCCUCCAAUGCCAAGGAUACUUUCUCAUUCUCUCACUAUGGUAAGGCAGAAUGACAAGAGAACUCAAACCCACGCUGCAGGCUCACAAAGCCCAAGCCCAGUACACAUCUCAGUGGGACAAUGGGAACACUGGGGGAACUGUGCCUUCUUUUCUACUCCUGACUGAGCCGUGUUAAUUUUCCCAUUUCCUUAGUAAAAUCUAUUCCUUAACACACGCAGGGUGAAGUUGUAUGAUCAGUCUUGAAUCCUGGUACAUGGUGAUUGAAGACCUAGAUGGAAUGUGCUGGACACAGCCACCACCUAUGAUGCCUUUUGGCAUAAAUGUUAACCACUCUUUUACAGUUGAGCUAAAGUCCCACUUAUUCUACAAAGAAGUUCCUGAUUGUCCUUAGUGAAGGGGGAUCCUUGGAGCUCCAAGGAUCCUAUAGCAGAGUUUAUCCUCUGGCCUCUACACAAAGCACAUCUCUGAUAAGUUAUUGGUUACGGCAUCUUUUCCACUAACAAAUGUAGACAUGAGAGAGAUUCUAAGUUUACAGAUCAUCGCAGUAAAGUGAGUCCUACAGGUUGUUCUGGUUUCCCAGGGCACAGAAAAGUCAUGUUUACACCAUACUGUAAUCUAUUAAGCAUGCAAUAGCAUUAGGUCUUAAAAAAUAAUGCAUAUACGUUAAUUAAAAACACUUGAUUGCUAAAAAAAUGCUAAGUGUCAUCUGAGACUUCAGUUAGUUGAAAUCUUUUUGGCAAUAGAAGCAUUGAAAAUCACUGAUCACAGAUCACCAUAAUGUAUUAAUAAUAAUGAAAAAGUUUGAAUUUUGUGAGAAUUACUAAAAUGUGACACAGAUACAUAAAGUGAGCAAAUGUUGUUAUAAAAAUAGUGCCAGUAGACUUGUUUGAUGCAGGGUUGGUCACAAACCUUCAGUAUGUAAAAAACCUAAUAUCUGUGAAGUCAAUAAAACAAGAUAUGCUUGUGUGCAUUUAGAAUCCAAUGAAAUUUUCAUCUUCGCAAAGGUAGGGGAGGGACCCUAUAAAUUUAGUACCUGUAACAGGCCCAGUGGCAAUCCUAGAUACAACAAAGAUUAAUGCCUAUUUGCUG